rnacentral:rRNA from 1 species
AUUGAACGCUGGCGGCAUGCUUUACACAUGCAAGUCGAACGGUAACAGGCCGCAAGGUGCUGACGAGUGGCGAACGGGUGAGUAAUGCAUCGGAACGUGCCCAGUCGUGGGGGAUAACUACUCGAAAGAGUAGCUAAUUCCGCAUACGAUCUAUGGAUGAAAGCGGGGGACCGUAAGGCCUCGCGCGAUUGGAGCGGCCGAUGUCAGAUUAGGUAGUUGGUGGGGUAAAGGCUCACCAAGCCAACGAUCUGUAGCUGGUCUGAGAGGACGACCAGCCACACUGGGACUGAGACACGGCCCAGACUCCUACGGGAGGCAGCAGUGGGGAAUUUUGGACAAUGGGCGCAAGCCUGAUCCAGCAAUGCCGCGUGCAGGAAGAAGGCCUUCGGGUUGUAAACUGCUUUUGUACGGAACGAAACGGCUCUGGUUAAUACCCGGGGCUAAUGACGGUACCGUAAGAAUAAGCACCGGCUAACUACGUG